rnacentral:lncRNA from 10 species
GCUUAAUUGGAAUCUUGCCUUACAGUCCUUGGCCCUUCCUUCACCUUGUAUGUAAUAGCUGUCUCCCCACACUUUACAGAAUGUAGGUUAGGGGUGAGUCAUCUCUGUUUGUCUUUCCUUUAGAGCCCCUCUCCCACCACCCUUGGGAAAGGAGAGUCUAGAGGCGUUUUCUUACCAGGCCUGCCGACCCCUGCACCAUGGCUCGGUGCUGCUCCUCAGCAACAGCAGCAGCAACAGCAACAGCAGCAGCAGCAGCAGCAGGCACCGCCGCCUCCACAGCCACAGCAGCAGCCACAGACAGGCCCUCGGCUCCCCCCACGGCAACCCACGGUGGCCUCUCCAGCAGAGUCAGAUGAGGAAA